CUACGGGACGCUGCAGUGGGGAAUAUUGCACAAUGGAGGAAACUCUGAUGCAGCAACGCCGCGUGGAGGGUGACACUUUUCGGAGCGUAAACUCCUUUUAUAUAGGAAGAAGAUGACGGUACUAUAUGAAUAAGCGCCGGCUAACUCCGUGCCAGCAGCCGCGGUAAUACGGAGGGCGCAAGCGUUACUCGGAAUCACUGGGCGUAAAGAGCGUGUAGGCGGAUUAAAAAGUCAGAAGUGAAAUCCUAUGGCUUAACUAUAGAACUGCUUCUGAAACUCUUAAUCUAGAAUAUGGGAGAGGUAGAUGGAAUUUCUGGUGUAGGGGUAAAAUCCGUAGAGAUCAGAAGGAAUACCGAUUGCGAAGGCGAUCUACUAGAACAUUAUUGACGCUGAGACGCGAAAGCGUGGGGAGCAAACAGGAUUAGAUACCCGGGUAGUC
rnacentral:rRNA from 1 species